ACUUCUCCAUGGAACAAGACUCUCCAUAAAUGCAAACCACCCCCAAGAAGCCGAAGACACAAUUAGUUUCCUUUAGCUUUCUGGUGUUGGCAAUACACUCAGAAAUGGAAUUGACAUUAAAUGCUUUGAAGUGACUGGAGUAAUGGGAAUGCAA